rnacentral:rRNA from 1 species
AUUGAACGCUGGCGGCAGGCCUAACACAUGCAAGUCGAACGAAUGGCGGACGGGUGAGUAAUGUCUGGGAAACUGCCCGAUGGAGGGGGAUGACUGCGGGAAACGGUAGCUAAUGCCGCAUACCAUGCGAUGGGCCCAGAUGGGUGUAUCGAGGGGGUGGGGGAACGGCUCACCUAGGCGACGAGCCCUAGCUGGUCUGAGAGGAUGACCGGCCACACUGGAACUGAGACACGGUCCAGACUCCUACGGGAGGCAGCAGUGGGGAAUAUUGCACAAUGGGCGAAAGUCUGAUCCAGCAAUGCCGCGUGUAUGAAGAAGGCUUUCGGGUUGUAAAGUACUUUUAGCGAGGAGGCGUUAUUCGCAGAAGAAGCACCGGCUAACUCCGUGCCAGCAGCCGCGGUAAUAC